AAACUGUUUUAAUCAAUUUUGUGCUCUCUUUAAUGUGACAUAAAUAUGCUUUCAUUAUAAGCAGCAGAAUUAAGAAUGGGGUCGUCUAGUAUUCAGACCCGAUGUUUGCUGCACAGGAGAUAAUUAUACAAAUGUUGCAUAAGUAUGUACGCCUUAAAUAAUAAGAGUUAAGAGAGGAGAUGUUGAGUACAAGUAAAAGCGAAAAAGUAGAAGUUUAACAAGAAUUUUUUUAAAAAACAAACAUUAACAUUAAACGUUGUGCAAGAAGUUUAGGGUAUGGUUGAUAAAAACGUGCUACAUUUUUGACUCAGUCUUAGUUGCAAUUGAAAUACCUUGAACGUUCACUUAGCAGGUACAUCAUAGAAUUAUAUGCAGUGUAAUGAUAUGAAGUAAACUGAACGCGUAAAUUUCUGUGUAAUUGACUUCAUUUCCUGUAAUAUACCGUCUCCCUGGUCCGCUAUCUAGGCAUUGCAUUACGGUAUACAUGUAGCUCUAGGAACACUAACACACGUUGUUUAACUAUUUCUAUGAAUGUGUUAGAAAUAUAUAAUAUUAAGAACUCUGUGUCAGUGUAAAGUGAACGUUUUUGAUAAUAUAGUCGGAAAAUAUAUUCGUGAUACUCUUUAUUUUGUUGAGAAGUUACUAAACAAUGAUGUUGUGAUCGACGGGAAAACAAUUAUAUGCGAUGUCUAAACUUGAAUGGGAUUGAUUAAAAGAUCAAAAGACCAAUACUCGAAAAGCAGUGACAAAAGGCGCUAAUCGAAGAAAACAAAUAUCAGAGACGAACAUGUGCAUAAGAUAUACAUGACCAAUAGAAAAACGAAUAGACAUGCAUAACAUCCCAGGUCAAAUAUUGAACAAGGAUCAGAAGAAAGAAUAGAUUGAGACAUUUGUGAAAGGAACAAUGGAAACUUUGGAAGUGUACUCUUUCUGAAACGUAUAACUACUACAAAGAUGUGAUCAUUGUAUAGGCAUUUAACUAGAGCAUUUUAUUUUCAAGGGAAAUAAUAGUGGUCUGACUGUAUUAUUUUGAAAAUCAGAGUUGAGAUUUUUUUAUGUUUGCACCGGUACAGUUUUGCGGGGAAGCGAAAGUUGACAUGGAGUUUUGUCUUCUUCUAAAAACAAGUGUCUGAUACAUGUAGUUGCAGUCUGUCUUUGGAAGCUGUAGAAAUAACAAGAAAGAGGCUGAUAUAGUG